UAGGUUCUGUCUAAAUUUAGGGUGUCGCGAUACGCAAAUGUAUUGAUGCAUCGAUACAUUUUUACUGACGAUACGAUACGCGAUACAUGCUUGCCUGUAUCGAUUCCUAUUUUAAAACUUUAUCGAUUCAAAUUUUUAUGCUAUAUCCAUCUCCUUCAAAGUCUUGAUGGUAAAAUUAUACGAGACCGCUCCGAUAAAUAAAUGUAGCUAGCUUUACUUAAAAAAUAGGUUGGAAACUAACAGCUUUUGUGACAUAUAAAAGGGAAACUUGUGACUUGAGUUAUUAGCAAAACUAACAUGAUUGUUACAAGAAUUUAUUAGUAAAGUAUCUCAGAUUUACAUCCCUCUUUAAGCAGCCUUCCGCAAAAAGGCGCGAAAAUUAUGUAUUGCGAUACGUAUCGUAUCGUGACCUUAAAAUCGUGAUCACAUCGUAUCGUGAGAUUGGUGUAUCGUGACACCCCUAAUAAAUAGCAAGUUAUCAUUCACAUUGAGUUUUGUACCCCGAGAAGAUGUGGGUUAGAAUUGGUCUU